GACAGAGGGUGCAAACGUUGUUCGGAAUUACUGGGCGUAAAGCGCGUGUAGGCGGCUCUGCAAGUCGGAUGUGAAAUCCCACGGCUCAACCAUGGAAGUGCAUUCGAAACUGCAGGGCUAGAGUCCUGGAGAGGAAGGUGGGAUGCUUGGUGUAGAGGUGAAAUUCGUAGAUAUUCGGAAGAACACCAGUGGCGAAGGCGACUUACUGGACACAUAUUGACGCUGAGGUGCGAAAGCGUGGGGAGCAAACAGG
rnacentral:rRNA from 1 species